rnacentral:rRNA from 1 species
AGGAUAAACGCUGGCGGCGUGCCUAAUCAAUGCGAGUCGAACGGGCACCUUCGGGUGUCAGUGGCGUCCGGGUGAGUAACGCGUAGCUAACCUGCCCACAGGUGGGGGAUACCCGCCAGAAAUGGCGGCUAAUACCGCAUAGCGUGACGAGGGGGUGACCUUCGGCACGAAAGCCGCAAGGUGUCUGUGGAGGGGCUGCGUCCGAUUAGCUGGUCGGUGGGUAACGGCCUACCGAGGCGACGAUCGGUAGC